AGGAAAGAGAGGAAGGUGUGGAGGGAGGAUAUGGCAACAAGACGGACAGAGAGAAAAAGGCCAGAACAAAUAAACACGGGAAGCAGGGAAGGAGAGAAAGGAGAUCAAUUAAAAUGAGAGAAAGACACGGACACUAGAGACAAAAAUCAGCUGAAGAGGGUGAAAGGCAAGUCUGGAGAGAAAGGAGGACAGGCAGUGAACACCCACAGUGGGACCUCUGAACACAUGCCUGACCUGCUUUGCUCAGACAAAUGUCCCCUGGAAGCCUGGCAUAGGGAGUGUGUGUGCACAGAGGGAAAUGUGCUGACUCCUGCCCAGUGCCCAAUAGAGGACAGACACAGAUCAAUUAAGCUGGGUGGGGCUCUCCUGCCAACAUUCAGCACCUGGCCAGGCAGGUCAAGGACUCUCACAGGAUCAUUAAGCUGUUAAAGGGCCAUGAGCCGCGGGGCAGAAACAGCCUUUUACCUUGAGAAAAAUCUUCUUCCUGUGCCCACAACUCCCAUGCUGGCCUGGCCACUACCUCUCUUCAGGUCCGACUUGGGACCAGGUAGAUCUCACAGUUUGGAAUCCGAACAGGCUACACGAGGACACUGGAAGUCAGCACAGCCAGUGCAACACAUUGCUCACUGCCGCAACCAAGAUGCUUGAUGGGCUUUGAAUGCUGACUGCCGUUCCACUGUGGAAAGUGACUUGGAGGAAAGGAAAUUGGUAUAUCUAGGUUGGCGGUGUGGACCUCCCUUUGCUGACUGAGCACCCUGCUUGCCUCCUCACAAACUGACCCUGAUGGUGUUGAUUCAGUGUUCACCACAGUGCUGUCCCUGGAGGACCAAUAAGUGAGAAAGUCUGACCCUGGCCACUGAGAGCUGUUGUGCAGGAUGCUCUAGUCACGCUCAGGUACCCAAAAGGAAUCGGAAGUUCCUCAGCUAAAGUUGUUCAAUUCCUAAAAGUUACCCAGGAAAGAGACAGAUGCUGCUCUUACAUGAUGAUUUUGCUUUCUGGGAGUCUCCUCUCCUCGAUUAGAGUGGAAACUGUUUAAAGGAAGGACUGGACCUUACACUUUGUUUUGUGUUUUAAUCAUUCCCUCCAUCAAGGCAGGAGUGGUGCAUAGGAUGUAGGAGUACGCUGGAGGAACUGGUUUUGGGUGUGAUGUAAGGAAAUUACUCCUUUUGGAUUUGAGGCUCCUAGAAACUGAUUGAUCAAAUCAUCACAUGUCUAUUUUAAUCUCAACUUCACCUUUGCAAGGUGAUUAACUGUCCUCAGAACUGUCCUCGGACCAGAACCAGAUUAGCUUCUGUGCCACACAGUUCCCUGGAGCAGGUCCUGCUGUCUUCAGUUGCAAGCAGGGAUCUGGAUAGGUCAGAGAGAAAUGUCUGGGGAAAUCCGAUUAAAGAAGGUUUUUGUGAACUUUCCAUUUGCUACAUGAUGAGAUCCGGGGAUAAGUGCCCAUAUCAUUUGAAUUUUUGGAUCCUCUGCAGCAGAGAGCUUAGUGCCUGACACUUGGGCUAAUUCUGCACUGAGAAAUUGCCAUCUGCCAGUUAACUGCUUUCAGAGUCUUGAUACUCACAAUAGACUAUGGAACUGGCUCAGAGAGAGGCAAAGUGAGCUGUCCAUGACACCAACAGGAACUGCUAUGGUUUGUAAGUUUAUUUGUCAAUGAAGUGAGACUCUCUCCCUGCUCUCCUUUCCUCUCAGUACCCAUCUGAUAAACUUACAGAAGGCAUCUCCGAUUCACAACACCCGCCACCAGCCCCCCACAGAAUAACACAUCGUCUGGCAACAGGAGGCGUUUGAUUACAUUUGGAAAGACUGCCUGCAUCAACUCCAGUUGUCCCUGCCUUGCAACUGAUGGGCCUCACGUGCCGCAGCCAACAGUUUGCCUGUACCCACUCCACUCUCCUAAACGAACCUUUCUCUAGGAAAACAAGAAACCUGCGUGCCAUCCUGAGUGAAAGAUGCUCAGGAGCUUGGUCCUGGCAUCACAUCACAGGCGUGGCAGGCAGGAAUGCUCUCUGCUGGAGUGGGGUUUGCAACGGGAGCCCCUGCUUCCAGCACCUCUGGAGAGAACCUCUAGCCUAAGAGACACAGUAAAUACCCCAGUGCAUUCUCCUUA